GUGAACGCCUGGCCAGAGCCGGUGGUAGUACGGGAGUGGCAAGGUUGACUCGGAAGUACUGGGCUGAAAGAGCGGUGAGGCGGGCAAAUAAGGCAGAAGUGAAAUCCAAUAGCUCAACUAUUGAACGGCUUGUGAAACUGUAUACCUAGAAUGUGGGAGAGGCAGAUGGAAUUUCUGGUGUAGGGGUAAAAUCCGUAGAGAUCAGAAGGAAUACCGAUUGCGAAGGCGAUCUACUGGAACAUUAUUGACGCUGAGAUGCGAAAGCGUGGGGAGCAAACAGGAUUAGAUACCCCAGUAGUC
rnacentral:rRNA from 1 species